UAAGAGAACCCAGGAAGAAAGAAGAGAAGGAAGAAAGAGGGGGAGUGAGAUGAGAGAAAAAGAAAACUGAGAGAAAAAUCAGUGAGUCACAGAUAUUGUAAACAUUGAAGUUGUAGCACUAUUAUUUUAGAUAGUGGAAAAGUUAAUGCUACUGCUCUUCGAGGAUGUAGGCAUGGCCAAACCUCGUUAAAUAUUGUGUCUUAUUUACUUUAUAUGCAACUCAAUAUUCUCGCAUAUUCCAGUUCAUUUUACAACAUGUUAUCAGCACGAGAAGCUCUCAGCAUAAAGAGAUCAGGACCUGAAGUUCCUUGAUCCUCAUCAUACAACUACAUCAGGACCUGAAAAUCCCUGAUGAUGAUAAUGAUAUGAGAGCUGGCAAUCUCUCCGGUACUAUAUUUGUAAACAAGAAAUCAGACUUGAAGAUUCUUGAUCCUUAACAUGUAAAUAAGGACCCGGAGUUCCUUAAUAAUGUAACAAUACUGUAUUGGUUAAUAGUGUUGUACACAUGAAUAGGUAACUGUAUUGACAAAUGUACUGUAUGCAUAAAUAGACAUGUAUUCAUGACCUGAUGAAUAGUACCGUAUACAUAAAUAUUAACCAUUUUCA